rnacentral:rRNA from 1 species
AGAGUUUGAUCAUGGCUCAGGACGAACGCUGGCGGCGCGCCUAACACAUGCAAGUCGAACGAGCGAGAGAGAGCUUGCUUUCUCGAGCGAGUGGCGAACGGGUGAGUAACGCGUGAGGAACCUGCCUCAAAGAGGGGGACAACAGUUGGAAACGACUGCUAAUACCGCAUAAGCCCACGACCCGGCAUCGGGUAGAGGGAAAAGGAGCAAUCCGCUUUGAGAUGGCCUCGCGUCCGAUUAGCUAGUUGGUGAGGUAAUGGCCCACCAAGGCGACGAUCGGUAGCCGGACUGAGAGGUUGAACGGCCACAUUGGGACUGAGACACGGCCCAGACUCCUACGGGAGGCAGCAGUGGGGAAUAUUGCACAAUGGGGGAAACCCUGAUGCAGCGACGCCGCGUGGAGGAAGAAGGUCUUCGGAUUGUAAACUCCUGUUGUUGAGGAAGAUAAUGACGGUACUCAACAAGGAAGUGACGGCUAACUACGUGCCAGCAGCCGCGGUAAAACGUAGGUCACAAGCGUUGUCCGGAAUUACUGGGUGUAAAGGGAGCGCAGGCGGGAAGGCAAGUUGGAAGUGAAAUCCAUGGGCUCAACCCAUGAACUGCUUUCAAAACUGUUUUUCUUGAGUAGUGCAGAGGUAGGCGGAAUUCCCGGUGUAGCGGUGGAAUGCGUAGAUAUCGGGAGGAACACCAGUGGCGAAGGCGGCCUACUGGGCACCAACUGACGCUGAGGCUCGAAAGUGUGGGUAGCAAACAGGAUUAGAUACCCUGGUAGUCCACACUGUAAACGAUGAUUACUAGGUGUUGGAGGAUUGACCCCUUCAGUGCCGCAGUUAACACAAUAAGUAAUCCACCUGGGGAGUACGACCGCAAGGUUGAAACUCAAAGGAAUUGACGGGGGCCCGCACAAGCAGUGGAGUAUGUGGUUUAAUUCGACGCAACGCGAAGAACCUUACCAAGUCUUGACAUCCUGCGACGGUGCUGGAAACAGUACUUUCCUUCGGGACGCAGAGACAGGUGGUGCAUGGUUGUCGUCAGCUCGUGUCGUGAGAUGUUGGGUUAAGUCCCGCAACGAGCGCAACCCUUAUUGUCAGUUGCCAUCAUUAAGUUGGGCACUCUGGCGAGACUGCCGGUGACAAACCGGAGGAAGGUGGGGAUGACGUCAAAUCAUCAUGCCCCUUAUGACCUGGGCUACACACGUGCUACAAUGGACGGUACAACGAGUCGCUAACUCGCGAGGGCAAGCUAAUCUCUUAAAGCCGUUCUCAGUUCGGAUUGCAGGCUGCAACUCGCCUGCAUGAAGUCGGAAUCGCUAGUAAUCGCGAAUCAGCAUGUCGCGGUGAAUACGUUCCCGGGCCUUGUACACACCGCCCGUCACACCAUGAGAGUUUGUAACACCCAAAGUCGGUGGGGUAACCUUUUGGAGCCAGCCGCCUAAGGUGGGACAGAUGAUUGGGGUGAAGUCGUAACAAGGUA